rnacentral:tRNA from 1 species
AUUAUUUUAGCAAAAUAGUGCAAUAAAUUUAGAAUUUAUUUAUGUAAAUUUAAUUUUACAAAUAAUA